CACAGGGCCACACACCGCAACUCCAGCUCACCAGUCCCGCCAGUGCGCUGCGGAUGGGACACCAAUGCGACCUUCGUGUAUGGCCUAAAAGGCAUUUCUCAUUAUCUUUCGGUCUCAAUUGCAGCAUGUUGUGGAGCUGACUUUGAAGCUUAAGACAACGGCGUUCUAUGUUUAUACGAUCUACUGGAGCCUAGAAAAGUUGGAAACUGAAGAUCAUAAACUUCCUGUGAGCUCACCAGUAGCCUACGGCCGGAAUUGGAUAAACAGUUUGCAUAGAAAAAUGACAUCAGCAAAACCUUACUGAGAAAUGCCACUUUAUUUUAUGUGGAUGUUUCUGUCUACUUACAUGGAUGCAAUUAUUUUUCCUGGAAGGAUUGUCUUAGGAGAAAAGCAGUUCCAGUAAGUAAAGAUGGUAAAUUCUCUAUCGCCCUCCAUAUUUUGCUAAAUUUUACCUUAUUGUGUCCUUCAACCAUUUCAGGUUCGAUGUCGCUCAUUCACAUCGGCUCUUAAAAUGUUCUGUCUUCCUUUUAAUGGGAAAUGCACUUGAGAUGCCUGUGGCCAGGUGUAGGCUCCUGCAGUACAGUGUGGCUACUUGAGAACGCUAUAUCUUCCGGCGGAAAGGUGAAAGGUUCAUCUCAGCGCAGCAUGUCCAGGACUCCAGCACUUAAUCUAUUGCUUGGCGAAUGAAAACCGCCUGUGGACGACAUGUUGGCUGAGAGGAACAAUGAACAAUACGUGGAUAAUCAAAGCACCACUUUGAAGAACAUGAAUAUUUAGGAAGAUGCCUGUCAGAAUCAACAAAGAUCUUACCUUCCAGUGGAGGAGAUAGAUUCUUUUGCCCGUCUCAUUUUCAUUUCACGAUCUGUCCAACAGUGACAGACUCCAUGUCAUCCUUAUUUGAGACAGUGUCCUUGUUUCCUUGUCCACUUUCUGUCCCUCUCUCUAGAAUCUGCCACAUCUGUAAGUCUGCCUCUCUCUCUCUCUCUGCAUUGACCUCUCUAUCUAUCUCCCACAAUACACACGGAUGUACACACACACAUGCUCUUUCCCUCAUCUUCAAACUUCACUUCAUCUUCCCCCCUCUUUCUCUCUCCCUCUCUCUCUCCCUCUCCCUUCCUCCCUCCCUCUAAUCCUCUGCUCUUGUGAAGAGCAUUGGGCCAUGCAGCUGUGCUCCUCUGGCACUCAGAGAGGCGGCCACUCAACCCCCCACUCACCAGAGGGGUCCAGACCACCUGGCUCCAGGGGCAGCUGACUGGCCUAUUCAGCUGAAUGCACAGGCAGACCAGCGGCUCAUCCCUGGCCUGCCCCGGAGGUGGACGCGUGGAGUGCGAGGGGCCUGUGUGGAAGGUCAGCGGAGCCAGAGGAAAAGCCCACGUUUGUGGGAGCGCGAGGCGAGUGGAUGAGUGACCAUUUACACCCGAGUGGAACAUAGGGAGAGAUUCACGGGGAGUCAGCUGAUGCUACUGGCACUAUAUUUGUAUCGCAGGAAGGGAUGGGAAUUAUUUACUUCCUGCCAUUAUAGAAUAAAGGGAUCGAAGAGGGGAGAAAGAGUGACAGAAGUAAUAUGGCGUAUUUUUAACUAAAGGGGGACGGGAAUACCCAUGUGUUUGGAUUCACUCUGCUGAUUUCUGCUCCAGGUGUCCGUCAGAGAUUGCCUAGUAUGGUUAUUUAAUUAGUAUCUUUGACAAAAUUCCGUUUCUAUUUGGAAUUCUCAGAAUAUACUAUAAUUCAUGCAUCAGCCAUUUGUAUGUUAGUCUUAGGUUAGGUGGCUGUUUUUGAAUGCAUUUCAGAGCCAGUAUUAUUUUGUCACAGAUGUUAUGAGAUGUUUCAACAAGACAUGUCAUUUGAUUACUCUAUUGCCAUUGUUGAGUCUAAAAUGUUAUUUUACUUUUUAUUUUUUAAUUUUU
ensembl:lncRNA